rnacentral:rRNA from 1 species
AGAGUUUGAUCAUGGCUCAGGAUGAACGCUAGCUACAGGCUUAACACAUGCAAGUCGAGGGGAAACGACAUCGAAAGCUUGCUUUUGAUGGGCGUCGACCGGCGCACGGGUGAGUAACGCGUAUCCAACCUGCCCAUCACUUGGGGAUAACCUUGCGAAAGAAAGAUUAAUACCUGAUGGUAUGAUGAGAUUGCAUGAUAGCAUCAUUAAAGAUUUAUCGGUGUACGAUGGGGAUGCGUUCCAUUAGGUAGUAGGCGGGGUAAUGGCCCACCUAGCCGACGAUGGAUAGGGGUUCUGGAGAGGAAGGUCCCCCANAUUGGAACUGAGACACGGUCCAAACUCCUACGGGAGGCA